UACGAGGGGGGCGAGCGUUGUUCGGAAUUAUUGGGCGUAAAGGGUGCGUAGGCGGUUUGGUAAGUCUUAUGUGAAAUCUACAGGCUCAACUUGUAGUCUGCAUGAGAAACUGCCGGGCUUGAGUAUGGGAGAGGUGAGUGGAAUUCCUGGUGUAGCGGUGAAAUGCGUAGAUAUCUGGAGGAACACCGGUGGCGAAGGCGGCAUCCUGGACCGGUAUUGACGCUGAGUGAGCGAAAGCCAGGGGAGCAAACGGG
rnacentral:rRNA from 1 species